CUAUUGAAAGAUAUAUCAAUCUGUUUUCUGAUGAAAUAAGUUUCAUAUGAAUCAAGGUUUCCAACAAGGAGUUACCAUGGAUUUAGUGACCAAAGGUCAAAGACUGAAUCACUGUUUUGUAGAAUUUAUAGGGCGGAAUCAAUGGAUAGCAGAAUAGGCCUUUGAAUUCCAAAUUUUUCAAUCUAUAUAUCAAAAGAAAUAUUUUCAAUUCUAGUUUCAAAUAAAAUCAGUUUGGUACAAAUCAGAAUUUCCAACAGGGAGUUAUAGGUAUUUUAGUAUCGAAAGGUCAGAAAUCUUAAUCCCUGUUUUGCAGCAUCCAUAGGCU
rnacentral:lncRNA from 1 species